GAUGAACGCUGGCGGCGCGCCUAAUACAUGCAAGUCGAGCGAACGGACGAGAAGCUUGCUUCUCUGAUGUUAGCGGCGGACGGGUGAGUAACACGUGGAUAACCUACCUAUAAGACUGGGAUAACUUCGGGAAACCGGAGCUAAUACCGGAUAAUAUUUUGAACCGCAUGGUUCAAAAGUGAAAGACGGUCUUGCUGUCACUUAUAGAUGGAUCCGCGCUGCAUUAGCUAGUUGGUAAGGUAACGGCUUACCAAGGCAACGAUGCAUAGCCGACCUGAGAGGGUGAUCGACCACACUGGAACUGAGACACGGUCCAGACUCCUACGGGAGGCAGCAGUAGGGAAUCUUCCGCAAUGGGCGAAAGCCUGACGGAGCAACGCCGCGUGAGUGAUGAAGGUCUUCGGAUCGUAAAACUCUGUUAUUAGGGAAGAACAUAUGUGUAAGUAACUGUGCACAUCUUGACGGUACCUAAUCAGAAAGUCACGGCUAACUACGUG
rnacentral:rRNA from 1 species